UACGUAGGGACCGAGCGUUGUCCGGAUUCAUUGGGCGUAAAGAGCUCGUAGGCGGCCACUCAAGUCGAAUGUGAAACCUCGAGGCUUAACCUCGAGCCUGCAUUCGAUACUGGGCGGCUAGAGUCCGGAAGAGGAGAGUGGAAUUCCUGGUGUAGCGGUGAAAUGCGCAGAUAUCAGGAAGAACACCCGUGGCGAAGGCGGCUCUCUGGGACGGUACUGACGCUGAGACGCGAAAGCGUGGGGAGCGAACAGG
rnacentral:rRNA from 1 species